UACGUAGGGUGCAAGCGUUGUCCGGAAUUAUUGGGCGUAAAGAGCUCGUAGGCGGUGUGUCACGUCGUUCGUGAAAACCUGCAGCUUAACUGUGGGCGUGCGGUCGAUACGGGCAUCACUGGAGUUCGGCAGGGGAGACUGGAAUUCCUGGUGUAGCGGUGAAAUGCGCAGAUAUCAGGAGGAACACCGGUGGCGAAGGCGGGUCUCUGGGCCGAUACUGACGCUGAGACGCGAAAGCGUGGGGAGCGAUCCGG
rnacentral:rRNA from 1 species